rnacentral:rRNA from 1 species
UACGUAGGGUGCGAGCGUUGUCCGGAAUUAUUGGGCGUAAAGAGCUUGUAGGCGGUUUGUCGCGUCUGCUGUGAAAAUCCGGGGCUCAACCCCGGACUUGCAGUGGGUACGGGGCAGACUAGAGUGUGGUAGGGGAGACUGGAAUUCCUGGUGUAGCGGUGAAAUGCGCAGAUAUCAGGAGGAACACCGGUGGCGAAGGCGGGUCUCUGGGGCCGAUACUGACGCUGGAGGAGCGAAAGCGUGGGGAGCGAACAGG